rnacentral:rRNA from 1 species
GACGAACGCUGGCGGCGUGCUUAACACAUGCAAGUCGAGCGGUAAGGCCCUUUCGGGGGUACACGAGCGGCGAACGGGUGAGUAACACGUGGGUGACCUGCCCUUAGCUCUGGGAUAAGCCUGGGAAACUGGGUCUAAUACCGGAUAUGACUCCAUGACGCAUGUUGUGGGGUGGAAAGCCUUGUGCGGCUAGGGAUGGGGCCCGCGGCCUAUCAGCUUGUUGGUGGGGUGAUGGCCUACCAAGGCGACGACGGGUAGCCGGCCUGAGAGGGCGACCGGCCACACUGGGACUGAGACACGGCCCAGACUCCUACGGGAGGCAGCAGUGGGGAAUCUUGCGCAAUGGGCGAAAGCCUGACGCAGCGACGCCGCGUGA